GUCACCUGGUUUGCAGACGCCCGCGCACCUCGCAAGAGCCACACCUGGUACCUGUGCCCAGCUGCAAGAGGAGGCCAGCACAGGAACAGAGGACGACACCCAUGACCAGCACUGAAUCCGACAGUGACCCUGGGUAAGCAAACGCUCCUGCUUUUCCAGAGGCUGAAACGUGUGUCUUUGGAGCCAAUGUAGAAAUACAGCCGGAGGUUAUUUCAAGCCAAAAGACAGCAAAGGUCGUCUCCUGUGCGUUUCCAGGGGCAAGACCCUCUGCACUGUCCAGGGAGGAGGCUCUCGUGCCCAGUGGUUUCUGCAGGCAACACUGGCUCCCGGCACGGUUUGCUCCCCAGAUGGCCCCAUCUCUAUCAGGAGGCGGUGCAGGAAGGCCUGGGGAGAGCGGUGUGCGCCCGCGGCCACCAGGGGGCAGGCGACACGACAGUUACCGGGCACUGACAAACUCCGCACAGUUCCCGCUGAGACAAAGCACCCCUGGACUGGCUCCCCUGCUGUCCUCACCCCCACUCCACCCACCGGGCCAUCUUCCCACAUUCUGGCUUGCGUGGAGGUUCUCCAGCCACAGCUGUCAAUAGAGGAUUGGUGAGACCCUGGGGGAAGCCCUGAGGUUUAUCAGCGCGCCUGUGGGUUUGCAAGCGUGUGCGUUCUAUGAAGCUCUAGAGGAGCAGUCUGCUCAGAUGUGUCCGAUAGCCCCUCAUUGGCUACGAGAUGAAUCACAGAGUUUUUAGCACGGCUCGUGCAGCUCCAAGACCUUCCAGCCCGGUGUGCCAGCCCAGGGUGAGCCUCCGCCAGGUGCCAGCUGCUGUGACUGUGGCCAUUCCCCUGGACCCACUUGCCUGCCGCCCACGCCACCCCCUCCCGCCGGCCACACGGGCCCCUCGCUGAUCCUGAAUUCGCUGCACAUGUUCAUGAGGACUCCGUGUCCUCGUUCCUGUGGUUUCUACUGCUUAGAGUUCUUCUCUUCCUCCACCUAAAACCCACUCCUCUUCCAAGACCCAGCUCAAGAGGGGCCCUCCUGCAGAACCUCCUGGAACCCCCACGCCAACAUCACGCACUGCUCCUUCUGCGUGCCCUGCCCUCGGCUGCGUUUCCACAGCACUCACCACUGAUGACCUUGUGUACCUGUCUGUGUUCAUGCGUCUCUCCGUUUGCUUCAAACUGUUAACUUCUUGAGGACAGGAAUGAUGUUACACCCAGCUCAGAACCUAACUAUGUUUAAUUUGCAGGGCCCCAGGCACUGAACAUAAGAGGACAGAUGAAAAGUUCUUCCACUUAGAAAGUUGUGACAGCCACAAGGGGCUCACUCUGGAGGCUGCAGCCGAGGUCUCAGGACACUGAUCAUGCUGACGAAAGGAGGAAUUCUUACCACACCAGCCCCCCACAAUUCUGCUCAGAAUCUGGUCAAGCGAGAGCGGUAAGACUGACUCCAGUCUUGGCCUUGCACCUCCCCUGAGCGGCUAGAGCUUCUUCCUCCCAUCACUCCUCCUUGCACGGCCUCUUACCACUGCAUUUAUUAAAAAGCAGAGAAUCUGGAGGGUGCUGAUCCUGGAGCACAAGCCCACAUCCACCCAGCUGCCCUGAGGCUCACGAGAGGCAGAAGAACCGUGAGCCACGCUGAGCCGAGCCCACUCUUGAAAAUGUCCUCAGUAAAGCCUGAUUGGUGUCCGCACUGCAGGACACUGCGUUACUUGCAUUUGCAGGUGGUGCCAGUGGGGACAAUUGCCCCCCACCCCUGAAUAUGGGUUUUUGGGAGUGUGGACCAGCUGAGCUGAUCGGGGGCGGGCAGACUCCCUCUUGUGCUGGUGGACAGCUUGCCUGGUUGGGGUUGUCACUGACCAUGUGGAGAUGGGAUUGUGUUGAGUAUCACAGAAGCCCUUGACGCGGAAGUGUGCAGGAGCUUUGCGGAAAGCAGAGUCCAUCUCCUUGACCCUCCUGGCUGUUUGGAUGUUCGAGUCCCCCGCAGGGCAUUUUCCUCAUGGCUGGAACAGCCUGGCCCUUCUCACUGGAAGCCUGUUUUCAGGAAAUAUUCUGCUCAGGGGAUCAUUGUGGGGAGACUGGGCUCAUGCCCCAUCACAGAAGAGACUCCUCUGGGGCCCAAAUGCAAACUGGAGUAGCCCAAGGAGGCUGAGGGAGCUUUCCUCCACCUCAGCCAUCUGCCCUCGACUAAGGAAGCGGCAGGCUUGAGUGGACUGCUCCCGGGAAGCCACUUUCAUGGCGUCCCCUCUCCAGGGUGCCCAUCUACCUGGAGCGUCAUCAUCGUCACUGCUGGAGUCUUGUCUCCUGUUGCCAAUCCAAGCUCUGGAGACACAAGUACCACAAGAAAGGUGUUACCCAGAGGCACUCGCCCAUCCUCCCUGCUGCACCGGAGGCCACACCAGCUGCCACAGCAACUCCCUGCUCCGUCCUCUGCUUUCUCAGAACUAACCUGGGCUCUCUGGAAUCAGAGACCUUCAACAAGUCACUGCUCACAUUUGCAAAUGUUCACGUCAAGAGAGGACCCCCUUUCCACGUGCCACUCCCCUCUCUUCCGGAUCAUUGCAGCUCUCCCCACCAGCCUUAUCAAUGUGGGGCUCCAACCCUACAGGUCAGUGAUUCACAAACAGGCACUGUCCCAGGUUGGAGCCACUGCCACGAGCCUGUUCUGCACAGACGGGAAUGUUUCCUCUGCCUUGUGAGCGCAGGGCUAUCGGGCACUGGAAAUAUGCCUGAUGUGAUGAGGUACUGGAGAUUACAUUUGAAAAUUAAUUUAAAAUACAGAUGCACCUGGUUAAUGACUGUGGCACCAGGGAGUCCAGAACUGGGAUUCAGAGAUGAGGGAGACGUCACCUCCCCGCCUCUGGGUUUUCCUUCCAGUGUAGCCAUCAAUGGCCUAGUGUUAUCUUUCAUCCAGUACGUACUUCCUGGGCACAGGCAUAAGUAUCCAGUGCUCUGUGAGACCCUAGGGGUGCUGAACACUGAGUCACAUCCAGGUCCUAGAGGGGUUCACAUCUGGGGGCGAUGUGUAAACAGAGUGAAGGGCAUGGCCAGCAAAUCCUGUGCUGGAAAAUCAGGGCAGCUGGAGUGAGGGGAGGGGACACCCCACUGUCCCCAGGAGCCCACACACCAGCCGAAUUUGGCUUUUAAUUCACCUUUCUUGUGAUGUCUUUUGCUGAAUUUGCUGUCAUGAUUGUCCCGAUUAAAAGAGAGCAUUGUGUGUUCCCUCUAUAUCCAGAAGUGUGCAUGCAAGAUUGGAGUUACUUCUAUUUAAAAUAUGUGAUGGACUCAGAGGGGACAGUAAGGAUGGAAGUUUGCGUAUGGAAAAAUAGUUUGCGUUACUUUGUUUUUAUUUGAUGGUUGCUUUACUUGUGGUGCAGUGCACAGUAUAUUACCUGUACAGAUUGUUGCCUUCUGACAAACACUGUGUUACCACCGCCCAGAUAUGAACACCCUGGCAGCCGCUCUUUGGCUAAUUCCUAGGCAGUAACUUCCAAGAGACACUCACUAUUCUGGUCAUGAUCAACAUAUUUUAAAUUUAUUUUUAAACACUGUAUAAAUGGAAACCUACAGUAUGUACUCUUUUGUGCCUGAAUGAAAAUUACACGUGAAUAUCAUGUAAAUUUCACCUAUGUUCCAUUGUGAUGACACAUUCAGCAUUUUGUACUGCUCGGUCCUGUCCAUAUAUAACAUCUACAUUGUAGGAAGUUGGCACAAUGAGUUUUCACCCUCUAUGUUUUACAUUCACUCUGUUUAUCAUGAUGGUUAUAAGGGAGGAGACCUCCCCUUAUAUUGUCUUAUGCCCAAUUUCUGCCUCCAAAGAAAGAAGAAGUAAAAACUAAAAGGCAGAAAUGAAAUCCACAAGCAGACAGCCCAGCACCACACCCUGGGCCUGGUAGUUAAAGGUUGACCCCUGACCUAAUCGGUUAUGUUAUCUAUAGAUUACAGAGAUUGUAUAGAAAAGCACUGUGAAAAUCCCUGUCCUGUUCUGUUCCAUUCUAAUUACCGGUGCAUGCAGCCCCCAGUCACGUACCCCCUGCUUGCUCAAUCGAUCAUGACCUUCUUACGCAGACACUUUUAGAGUUGUGAGCCCUUAAAAGGGACAGGAAUUGCUCACUCGGGGAGCUCAGUUGUUGGAGACGUGAGUCUUGCCGAAGCUCCCAGCUGAAUAAAGCCGUUCCUGCUUU
rnacentral:lncRNA from 1 species